GGGAUCUUUAUAAUACAGGGACUUAUCUUAUCUGUGACUAGCAGAUGCUGGAUGCAGUUUCAUGGGGUAUGAAAAGCAGGCAGGCUCUAAAUGACUCAAAAUCUGCUUAUUAAGGAUGUUUAAAAUUGCUGAGUGUGUAAAAAUUUAAAUUUGGUGCUGAUGGGCUGUUGUGCUAAUGGAUCUCAGCCUACCAUGGAUAAAUAUACAGCCUAGGGGCCGAUAGAGGCCACCCUUGGCUAUUUAAGUGACACAUACACUCUGCCUUCCUGCCACCACGUCGCCUACCUCUGUCCUUGUCAACCACUAAUUCAUCCCCAUUUCUAUUUUUUUAUUUCAGGUAUGUUAUAUAAAUGGAAUCAUAGAGCUGGGGUCUCGCUGUUACCCAGGCUGGAGUGCAGUGGUGCAAUCAUAGCUUACUGAAGCCUUGAACUCCUGGGCUCAAGCAAUCCUCCUUCAAACAUCCUGCUUUGGUGUUUGAAGCAGCUGAGAUGACAGCCGUUUUUGGUUCAUAACUAACUUGAGCAGAAUGGACAGAGUUCCAAUAUGUUCCAGUCACUGAAUGCAGGUUUUGAAUUGAGACCUUUACUCCUUAAUGUGUCUUCUCAAAGGUGCAUCAGAAAGCAAGAUUUCUAUGAAUGUCAUGAAGAGAAUUAAAGUUCAUUAUCGCAAUCUAGAGGAUGAACACCAGUGACUCCUCAAGCUCAGAAUUGGUCCUCAUGACAGAUGAGGAAAGUACUACGCUCAAGUUCCCCCAGUCCCUGCCACUUGUUAAUUUUAUAACCUUUGCCAAGUCACUUAAUUUCCAAGCAUCCUAACUUUCUAAUUUUUUUUUUUGAGACAGAGUCUCGCUCUGUUUCCCAGGCUCGAGUGC